rnacentral:rRNA from 1 species
UACAGAGGUCUCAAGCGUUGUUCGGAUUCAUUGGGCGUAAAGGGUGCGUAGGCGGCGCGGUAAGUCGGGUGUGAAAUCUCGGAGCUUAACUCCGAAAUGGCAUUGGAAACUACCUUGCUCGAGGGUCGGAGGGGGGACUGGAAUACUUGGUGUAGCAGUGAAAUGCGUAGAUAUCAAGUGGAACACCAGUGGCGAAGGCGAGUCCCUGGACGACUCCUGACACUGAGGCACGAAAGCUAGGGGAGCAAACAGG